UACAGAGGUCUCAAGCGUUGUUCGGAUUCAUUGGGCGUAAAGCGCACGUAGGCGGCCCGUUAAGUCGGAUGUGAAAUCCCUCGGCUCAACCGAGGACGUGCAUUCGAUACUGGCAGGCUUGAAUAUGGAAGGGGUCGCGGAAUUCCCGGUGUAGAGGUGAAAUUCGUAGAUAUCGGGAGGAACACCAGUGGCGAAGGCGGCGACCUGGGCCAAUAUUGACGCUGAGGUGCGAAAGCGUGGGGAGCAAACAGG
rnacentral:rRNA from 1 species